rnacentral:rRNA from 1 species
UUUGGCGGGGGAUAAUUCCGCGAAAGCGGGACUAAUACCGCAUAGAUCCACCGGCUGGGAUGCUGGUGGGGAAAGUGGCGACACACCGAGGGAUGGGCCUGCGGCCUAUCAGGUAGUUGGUGGGGUAAUGGCCCACCAAGCCGAAGACGGGUAGCCGGGCUGAGAGGUUGAACGGCCUCACUGGAACUGAGAUACGGUCCAGACUCCUACGGGAGGCAGCAGCGACGAAUCUUCCGCAAUGGGCGCAAGCCUGACGGAGCGAUGCCGCGUGUGGGAUGAAGCGGCUGUGCCGUGUAAACCACUGUCAGGAGAUCGAAACACUGAUCAUCUCCAAAGGAAGGGGCGACUAACUCUGUGCCAGCAGUCGCGGUAAUACAGAGGCCCCCGAGCGUUAAUCGGAAUCACUGGGCUUAAAGGGUGCGUAGGCGGACCUCUCAGUGUCGUGUGAGAGCCCACUGCUUAACGGUGGGAACCGCACGGCAAACUGGAGGUCUCGAGGAAAGUAAGAGGCCGGUAGAACGAUUGGUGGGAGCGGUGGGAUGCGUAGAUAUCAAUCGGAAUGCCCAAAGGUGAAGACAGCCGGCUGGGCCUUCCUGACGCUGAGGCACGAAAGCGUGGGGAGCAAACAGGAUAAGAUACCCUGGUAGUCCACGCCCUAAACAAUGCGCGCUGGAUCACGGCGGCUCUGACGUCGUCGGGAUCGCAAAAAAAUUGCUAAGCGCGCCGCCUGGGGGAGUACGGUCGCAAGUCUAAAACUCAAAGAAAUUGACGGGGGCUCACACAAGCGGUGGAGCAUGUGGCUCAAUUCGAAGCAACGCGAAGAACUUUACCUGGGUUUGACAUGCACGGAUUAGUUUCUGGAAACAGGAAUGACAAUCGCAAGAUUGGAACGUGCACAGGUGCUGCAUGGCUGUCGUCAGCUCGUGCUGUGAAGCGUCGGGUUAAGUCCUCUAACGAGCGCAACCCCUGCCGCUAGUUACCAUCGGGUUAUGCCGGGGACUCUAGCGGGACUGCCGGUGUCAAACCGGAGGAAGGCGGGGAUGACGUCAAGUCCUCAUGGCCCUUACAUCCAGGGUUGCACACGUGCUACAAUGGUGCAUACAAAGCGACGCGAGACCGCGAGGUGGAGCAAAUCGCAAAAAAUGCACCCCAGUUCGGAUUGCAGGCUGAAACCCGCCUGCA